GAGUUUGAUCCUGGCUCAGAGUGAACGCUGGCGGCGUGCCUAAUACAUGCAAGUCGAACGGAGAUUAAAGUAAGCUUGCUUAUUUUAAUCUUAGUGGCGCACGGGUGAGUAAUGUAUAGCUAAUCUGCCCUACACUAGAGGACAACAGUUGGAAACGACUGCUAAUACUCUAUACUCCUUCUUUACAUAAGUUAAGUCGGGAAAGUUUUUCGGUGUAGGAUGAGGCUAUAUCGUAUCAGCUAGUUGGUGAGGUAAUGGCUCACCAAGGCUAUGACGCGUAACUGGUCUGAGAGGAUGAUCAGUCACACUGGAACUGAGACACGGUCCAGACUCCUACGGGAGGCAGCAGUAGGGAAUAUUGCUCAAUGGGGGAAACCCUGGAGCAGCAACGCCGCGUGGAGGAUGACACUUUUCGGAGCGUAAACUCCUUUUCUUGGGAAAGAAUUAUGACG
rnacentral:rRNA from 1 species